rnacentral:rRNA from 1 species
UACAGGGGGGGCAAGCGUUGUUCGGAAUUACUGGGCGUAAAGGGCUCGUAGGCGGCCAACUAAGUCGGAUGUGAAAUCCCCAGGCUUAACCUGGGAACUGCAUCCGAUACUGGAUGGCUUGAAUUCGGGAGAGGGAUGCAGAAUUCCAGGUGUAGCGGUGAAAUGCGUAGAUAUCUGGAGGAAUACCGGUGGCGAAGGCGGCAUCCUGGACCGAGAUUGACGCUGAUGAGCGAAAGCUAGGGGAGCAAACGGG